rnacentral:rRNA from 1 species
GAUGAACGCUGGCGGCGUGCCUAAUACAUGCCAGUCGAGCGAACGGACGAGAAGCUUGCUUCUCUGAUGUUAGCGGCGGACGGGUGAGUAACACGUGGAUAACCUACCUAUAAGACUGGGAUAACUUCGGGAAACCGGAGCUAAUACCGGAUAAUAUUUUGAACCGCAUGGUUCAAAAGUGAAAGACGGUCUUGCUGUCACUUAUAGAUGGAUCCGCGCUGCAUUAGCUAGUUGGUAAGGUAACGGCUUACCAAGGCAACGAUGCAUAGCCGACCUGAGAGGGUGAUCGGCCACACUGGAACUGAGACACGGUCCAGACUCCUACGGGAGGCAGCAGUAGGGAAUCUUCCGCAAUGGGCGAAAGCCUGACGGAGCAACGCCGCGUGAGUGAUGAAGGUCUUCGGAUCGUAAAACUCUGUUAUUAAGGAAGAACAUAUGUGUAAGUAACUGUGCACAUCUUGACGGUACCUAAUCAGAAAGCCACGGCUAACUACGUG